GAUGAACGCUGGCGGCGUGCCUAAUACAUGCAAGUCGAGCGAACAGACGAGGAGCUUGCUCCUCUGACGUUAGCGGCGGACGGGGGAGUAACACGUGGAUAACCUACCUAUAAGACUGGGAUAACUUCGGGAAACCGGAGCUAAUACCGGAUAAUAUAUUGAACCGCAUGGUUCAAUAGUGAAAGACGGUUUUGCUGUCACCUAUAGAUGGAUCCGCCCCGCACUAGCUAGUUGGUAAGGUAACGGCUUACCAAGGCGACGAUGCGUAGCCGACCUGAGAGGGUGAUCGGCCACACUGGAACUGAGACACGGUCCAGACUCCUACGGGAGGCAGCAGUAGGGAAUCUUCCGCAAUGGGCGAAAGCCUGACGGAGCAACGCCGCGUGAGUGAUGAAGGUCUUCGGAUCGUAAAACUCUGUUAUUAGGGAAGAACAAGUGUGUAAGUAACUGUGCACGUCUUGACGGUACCUAAUCAGAAAGCCACGGCUAACUACGUG
rnacentral:rRNA from 1 species